rnacentral:pre_miRNA from 1 species
AAAGUACUCUCUCCGUCCCAAAAUUCUUGUCUUAGAUUUGUCUAGAUACGGAUGUAUCAAGUCACAUUUUAGUAUUAGAUACAUCCGUAUGUAGACAAAUCUAAGACAAGAAAUUUGGGACAGAGGGAGUAGUUG